rfam:Granulicella mallensis MP5ACTX8, complete genome.
GCUGAUGUAGCUCAGUGGUAGAGCACUCCCUUGGUAAGGGAGAGGUCAUGGGUUCAAGCCCCAUCAUCAGCU